CCCGAGACUUUGGUGAUGCAUCCAAAACAGUUGAAAACGAGCGUAAGAUGAAGACCUUUUUGGCCCUGUGUCUCAUCACCACACUGGUUGUGAUUGUCAGUGCGGAGCUCCAUGAUGACCACCAUGACAACAACACCAUUGUUGUGAUGCUAGAAAAGAAAGUCAAUCCACUGCCUUGCAUGAAGAACCUUGAUAAUAACGCUUACAACAAAUUCAAUAAAAAACACAUUCUUGAUUCUAAUUUCGAUAUUGCUGACAAAAUAGAAUGGAGCAAGUACCUGGAUGAAAAAGGACUCUGUGGGAGAGUCCCUGUCCAGUCUUUUUUCCAAAGAAAUGAUGAAGAAAAAGUCAAGUACAUCUGCAAGGGCCAAGGUUUUGUCUAUAAAGAUAACCUCUGUGUUAGUCAGGUAACCUUUACAGUUUUUCAUGUCACAAGCGACGCUACGCUGUGUAGGGUGACUGAGGUUGUACCAAAAGAGCAAAAGGUCAUGCUGGCCUGUGAUACCAUUGGAAAUGUUGAGUGUCUACCUGUUCACUAUGAGAAAUACAAUGGCCAGGAUCAUGGACCCCAUAAAUGCCAGCAAAUGCUAGCAAAUGCCAGUCCUCUGUUUGCAAUCCCAUUUUUAGACUUGAUAAAGAUUGUCUCCAUCAUUUUUAUUUUGACCUAGAGCCCUUUAUUUUUAAUACCAGGUGAUGUUUGCAUUUACUGGCUGUCAUACACAUUCAGUUUGUUAUUACUUGUAAAAUAAACCUAUUUCAGUUAGUGUUGCAUUUCAUCUUGUGUCGUGUUAUUAACCUUCCCUGAUUUUGGCUCCUACCAACAUCUUUUUUUACCUCUGAUAACAACAAUAAAUUCAGUGUGUCAUAGCUUUGUAUCUCCAGCUUAUACCAUGGCAGGCUGUAAACAGAUAAUCAUGAGUGGGGUAUUCUCCUAAAUCUGCAGGGGUUAUGUGUUAUAAAUUAUCUAAAUAAAAAUAAAAUAGCAAUGUAUUGGUAAAAAAAAUGUCCUAAAAAUUAAAUUGUCCUAAAAUUGUUGAGAAUUGUCAUGUCGCUUUUGGCUAAAAAUGUGUCAGCCAAAUGUAUAAUGUAAUGUAAAUUGUGGCUAUAGAAUCAAACAUCCAGGUUGCAUACAUCAUACAAUUUCUAUGCAUUGUUCAUGCUGUGUGUGUAGUCAUGGCUUUAACAUUAUUAUGUUUUUAUUACAUUUUAUGUUUGUUAUUACAUUGCUUAACUGGUUCAUGUUUUGCUUCAUCUGACUAUUUCUACAAAGAUUCCACAACUAAACAAUGGCAAUUAGGGCCUACCAGAGAUCAAUAAAGCAAAUACAAUCUGA